rnacentral:rRNA from 1 species
CGGACGGGUGAGUAAUGUCUGGGAAACUGCCUGAUGGAGGGGGAUAACUACUGGAAACGGUAGCUAAUACCGCAUAACGUCGCAAGACCAAAGAGGGGGACCUUCGGGCCUCUUGCCAUCGGAUGUGCCCAGAUGGGAUUAGCUAGUAGGUGGGGUAACGGCUCACCUAGGCGACGAUCCCUAGCUGGUCUGAGAGGAUGACCAGCCACACUGUAACUGAUACACGGUCCAG